GACGAACGCUGGCGGCGUGCCUAACACAUGCAAGUUGAGCGACGAACCAGGGCUUGCCCUGGGGCAAAGCAGCGAACGGGUGAGUAACACGUGGAUAACCUGCCCCGAAUACUGGGACAACCCGAGGAAACUCGGGCUAAUACCGGAUGUGCUCGCUGGACACCAGUCCAACGAGGAAAGGAAGCUUCGGCCUCCGAUUCGGGAGGGGUCCGCGGCCCAUUAGCUAGUUGGUGAGGUAACGGCUCACCAAGGCUUCGAUGGGUAGCUGGUCUGAGAGGACGAUCAGCCACACUGGGACUGAGACACGGCCCAGACUCCUACGGGAGGCAGCAGUGGGGAAUCUUGCGCAAUGCGCGAAAGCGUGACGCAGCAACGCCGCGUGAGGGAAGAAGGCUCUCGGGUUGUAAACCUCUUUCAGGAGGGACGAAGGUGCGGCAGUGAAUAGCUGCCCGUACUGACGGUACCUCCAGAAGAAGCUCCGGCUAACUACGUGCCAGCAGCCGCCGUAACAC
rnacentral:rRNA from 1 species